CCUACGGGUGGCAGCAGUGGGGAAUAUUGGACAAUGGGGGGAACCCUGAUCCAGCCAUGCCGCGUGUGUGAAGAAGGCCCUCGGGUUGUAAAGCACUUUCAGUGAGGAAGAACGCCUGGUGGUUAAUACCCAUCAGGAAAGACAUCACUCACAGAAGAAGCACCGGCUAACUCCGUGCCAGCAGCCGCGGUAAUACGGAGGGUGCGAGCGUUAAUCGGAAUUACUGGGCGUAAAGCGCGCGUAGGUGGCUUGAUAAGCCGGUUGUGAAAGCCCCUGGCUCAACCUGGGAACGGCAUCCGGAACUGUCAAGCUAGAGUGCAGGAGAGGAAGGUAGAAUUCCCGGUGUAGCGGUGAAAUGCGUAGAGAUCGGGAGGAAUACCAGUGGCGAAGGCGGCCUUCUGGACUGACACUGACACUGAGGUGCGAAAGCGUGGGUAGCAAACAGGAUUAGAUACCCUGGUAGUC
rnacentral:rRNA from 1 species